AGAGCGAGUUCACCUCUUAUCCUGGAAGAAGAAAAACAACAAUCUUCCCAUACACAUAUCGAUGGGAUUCUCCGUGCUUUGACGGAUGGAAAGCAUAUGAGAAGAACCCCUUUCACCCAACUCAGAAUCCUGAUGGGACCAUCCAGAUGGGUCUUGCCGAGAAUUAGCUUUCCUUCGAUCUGGAAGAGUGUAUGAAGAACAAUCCUAAGGCGUCCAUUUGCACUUCAGAUGGGGCUGGCAAGUUCAAGGACGUUGCCAACGCCAAUUUCCAAUGAUAUUUUCCUGGAGACGCUUUCCUUGUUCCUUGCUUGUAUUAUCCAGCAUAAUGUGGACGAGAUCGGGACUGCAUCCGGUCUUUUACAUUUUCCAGAUGGCGGGGAAGUCGAAAACCCUGGCCAAGUAUAUUUUGUUGUGGAGGUUCUUUUUGGAAGUGGACGAGUGUUUCUGUGCUCAAACUGAUUCCCAGCAGUUUUGAUGGGUCCGUUAAGAUCACUCCUUUUACGUUGAUGUUGGCUUCUAUGACCUUGACGUAAUGCUGAUUUUUAUUUGUGGUAGGGUUACUUGGAAGUUGUUGGAGCUGUCAUAUUUAACCGGAGUUAUCUGUGCGCCGGUGAGCCAUCUUAUGUCCUUAUAAAUCUGAGAGAAAAGAAUUUGAGAACGAGAUACGCUUACAUGAGAAUAAAAUCAUAGGACAAGUAUAUGCAUAAACAUGCUUACAAAAGGAGAGACGUGUACAUGAGCUUUAUUUUUGGUCUGGUUCCCCUCAAUGCUGCUAUAAUAAGCUCAUAAAGAUGCGGUAUCUCAAUUAUAUUUCUCUGCCUUAUGUUACUACUAAGUAUUGUUGGCAUCUAGAAUCACUUU